GGCAGAAUAGCUCAGUUGGAUACCUUCGGGUCAGAGCAUCUCACAUGACAUGAAAUGAGAAGGUCGCAGGUUCGAAUCCUGCUUCAGCUA